GUUGAGGGGAAUGUUGUCUGGUUCGAGGUCAUGUAGCACACACACAUGUUUAUGUUUCAUAGCUGAGGCUGCAUGAGGUCGGACCAGGCUUCAUUCCUCUCAGC
rnacentral:pre_miRNA from 1 species